AGUAAUGUAUGGGGAUCUGCCCGAUAGAGGGGGGUAACUACUGGAAACGGUGGCUAAUACCGCAUAAUGUCUACGGACCAAAGCAGGGGCUCUUCGGACCUUGCACUAUCGGAUGAACCCAUAUGGGAUUAGCUAGUAGGUGGGGUAAAGGCUCACCUAGGCGACGAUCUCUAGCUGGUCUGAGAGGAUGAUCAGCCACACUGGGACUGAGACACGGCCCAG
rnacentral:rRNA from 1 species